rnacentral:rRNA from 1 species
GAUGAACGCUGGCGGCGUGCCUAAUACAUGCAAGUCGAGCGAACGGACGAGAAGCUUGCUUCUCUGAUGUUAGCGGCGGACGGGUGAGUAACACGUGGAUAACCUACCUAUAAGACUGGGAUAAUUUCGGGAAACCGGAGCUAAUACCGGAUAAUAUUUUGAACCGCAUGGUUCAAAAGUGAAAGACGGUCUUGCUGUCACUUAUAGAUGGAUCCGCGCUGCAUUAGCUAGAUGGUAAGGUAACGGCUUACCAAGGCAACGAUGCAUAGCCGACCUGAGAGGGUGAUCGGCCACACUGGAACUGAGACACGGUCCAGACUCCUACGGGAGGCAGCAGUAGGGAAUCUUCCGCAAUGGGCGAAAGCCUGACGGAGCAACGCCGCGUGAGUGAUGAAGGUCUUCGGAUCGUAAAACUCUGUUAUUAGGGAAGAACAUAUGUGUAAGUAACUGUGCACAUCUUGACGGUACCUAAUCAGAAAGCCACGGCUAACUACGUG